CAGUCGCCACGGUAAAACGUAGGGUGCAAGCGUUAAUCGGAAUUACUGGGCGUAAAGCGUGCGCAGGCGGUUAUAUAAGACAGAUGUGAAAUCCCCGGGCUCAACCUGGGAACUGCAUUUGUGACUGUAUAGCUAGAGUACGGCAGAGGGGGAUGGAAUUCCGCGUGUAGCAGUGAAAUGCGUAGAUAUGCGGAGGAACACCGAUGGCGAAGGCAAUCCCCUGGGCCUGUACUGACGCUCAUGCACGAAAGCGUGGGGAGCAAACAGGAUUAGAUACCCCCGUAGUCCCUGUCUCUUAUAA
rnacentral:rRNA from 1 species